UUGAACGCUGGCGGCGCGCUUAACACAUGCAAGUCGAGCGAGAAAGGUUCUUUCGGGGACUGAGUACAGCGGCGCACGGGUGAGUAACGCGUGGAUGAUCUGACCUUUUCACUGGGAUAACAGCGGGAAACUGCUGCUAAUACCGGAUAUGCUGCACAAUUAUAAUUUUGCGGUAAAGGUGGCCUCUGCGAGCAAGCUGCCGGGAGGGGAGGAGUCCGCGUCUUAUUAGUUAGAUGGUGGGGUAACGGCCUACCAUGACGACGAUGAGUAGCCGGCCUGAGAGGGUGGCCGGCCACACUGGAACUGAAACACGGUCCAGACUCCUACGGGAGGCAGCAGUGGGGAAUAUUGCGCAAUGGGCGAAAGCCUGACGCAGCGACGCCGUGUGAGGGAUGAAGGUCUUCGGAUCGUAAACCUCUGUCAGGGGGGAAGAAACGCAUGAGGCGGAAAUGCUUUGUGUUUGACGGUACCUCCAGAGGAAGCACCGGCUAACUCCGUGCCAGCAGCCGCGGUAAUACGGAGGGUGCCAGCGUUAAUCGGAAUUACUGGGCGUAAAGCGUGCGUAGGCGGUUAUGUGAGUCAGGUGUGAAAUCCCUCGGCCCAACCGAGGAACUGCACUUGAUACUGCAUGACUGNAGGCGGCUGUCUGGCUCGACACUGACGCUGAGUGCACGAAAGCGUGGGGAGCAAACAGGAUUAGAUACCCUGGUAGUCCACGCUGUAAACGAUGGAUACUAGGUGCUGGAGGCAUGUCUUUCGGCGCCGUAGCUAACGCGUUAAGUAUCCCGCCUGGGGAGUACGGUCGCAAGGCUGAAACUCAAAGGAAUUGACGGGGGCCCGCACAAGCAGUGGAUUAUGUGGUUUAAUUCGAAGCAACGCGAAGAACCUUACCAGGUCUUGACAUCCCAGGAAGACACCAGAGAUGGAGUUGUGCCCUUCGGGGAACCUGGAGACAGGUGGUGCAUGGUUGUCGUCAGCUCGUGUCGUGAGAUGUUGGGUUAAGUCCCGCAACGAGCGCAACCCUUACCAUUAGUUGCUACGCAAGAGCACUCUAAUGGGACCGCUACCGACAAGGUGGAGGAAGGUGGGGAUGAGGUCAAAUCAGCACGGCCCUUAUGUUCGGGGCUACACACGUGCUACAAUGGUCGGUACAGAGGGUCGCUACCACGCGAGUGGAUGCCAAUCUCAAAAACCGAUCUCAGUUCGGAUCGGAGUCUGUAACUCGACUCCGUGAAGUUGGAUUCGCUAGUAAUCGCGCAUCAGCCAUGGCGCGGUGAAUACGUUCCCGGGCCUUGUACACACCGCCCGUCAAGCCAUGGAAGCCUGUGGUACCUAAAGUCCGUGCCCGUAAGGAGCGGCCUAGGGUAAAACCGGUAACUGGGGCU
rnacentral:rRNA from 1 species